GAGGCAAAUUAUAUCAAAAUU
ensembl:piRNA 21ur-6483 ncRNA